AACGAACGCUGGCGGCAGGCCUAACACAUGCAAGUCGAGCGAGGGCUUCGGUCCUAGCGGCGGACGGGGGAGUAACGCGUGGGAACGUGCCCUUUGCUUCGGAAUAGCUCUGGGAAACUGGGAGCAAUACCGGAUGAGCCCUUUGGGGGAAAGAUUUAUCGGCGAAGGAGCGGCCCGCGUUGGAUUAGGUGGUGGGGGGGGUAAUGGCCUACCAAGCCGACCAUCCAUAGCUGGUUUGAGAGGCUGAUCAGCCACACUGGGACUGAGACACGGCCCAGACUCCUACGGGAGGCAGCAGUGGGGGAUCUUAGACAAUGGGGGAAACCCUGAUCUAGCCAUGCCGCGUGAGCGAUGAAGGCCUUAGGGUUGUAAAGCUCUUUCAGCUGGGAAGAUAAUGACGGUACCAGCAGAAGAAGCCCCGGCUAACUCCGUG
rnacentral:rRNA from 1 species